GACGAACGCUGGCGGCGUGCUUAACACAUGCAAGUCGAACGGAAGGCCCUGGUUUUGGGGGGUGCCCGGGGGGCGAACGGGGUAGUUAACCGUGAGGUACCUGCCCCUUGCCUUGGGGUAACUUCAAGAAACCGGGGCCAAUUCCGGGUAGGGGCCCCUGCCGCAUGGUGGGGGUUUGAAAGUUUCGGGGGUUGGGGAAGGACGCGCGGCUUAGCAGCUUUGUUGUGGGGUUGGUGCCUACCAAGGCCUUGACGGGUUGGCGGGCAGGGAGGGUGACCGGCCACAUUGGGACUGAGAUACGGGCCAGACUCCUACGGGAGGCAGCAGUGGGGAAUAUUGCACAAUGGGCGGAAGCCUGAUGCAGCAACGCCGCGUGCGGGAUGACGGCCUUCGGGUUGUAAACCGCUUUCGCCUGUGACGAAGCGUGAGUGACGGUAAUGGGUAAAGAAGCACCGGCUAACUACGUG
rnacentral:rRNA from 1 species